rnacentral:ncRNA from 1 species
AUGCACUAGGGGUGUUUUUAUAACUGAGAAUAGGCGUGGCCUUAAACCCUUUGAACCUGAUCUAGUUGAUACUAGCGUAGGAAAGUGUG